rnacentral:rRNA from 1 species
AUUGAACGCUGGCGGCAGGCUUAACACAUGCAAGUCGAGCGAGCGGCGGACGGGUGAGUAAUGUCUGGGAAACUGCCUGAUGGCGGGGGAUAACUACUGGAAACGGUAGCUAAUACCGCAUACCAUCAGCUGAGACCAUAUGGGAUUAGCUAGUAGGUGAGGUAACGGCUCACCUAGGCGACGAUCCCUAGCUGGUUUGAGAGGAUGAUCAGCAACACGGGAAUUGAGACACGGUCCAGACUCCUACGGGAGGCAGCAGUGGGAAAUAUUGCACAAUGGGCGCAAGCCUGAUGCAGCCAUGCCGCGUGUAUGAAGAAGGCCUUCGGGUUGUAAAGUACUUUCAGUGGGGAGGCGUUACUCGCAGAAGAAGCACCGGCUAACUCCGUGCCAGCAGCCGCGGUAAUUC